rnacentral:tRNA from 1 species
GCCUGGGUGGCUCAGUCGGUUAGGCGUCUGACUUCAGCUCAGGUGAUGAUCUCACCAUUUGUGGGUUCAAGCCUCACUUCGGGCU